GAUGGCUCUGCACUGGGCAGUGAAGCACAGCAAUCUUGAGAUGGCAGAGAUGGUCGCCAAAACAGGCAUUGAUGUCAAUGCUAAAUCGCAUUGACAUGGCUCUCCCAAAAGGGGAUAUCCACUGCCCUGAUUUAUCUGAAUUUAAUCUCGCCAGGAAUUUACAGCAAGGCCAUUUUUAUUUGUUUCAAUGAGCUGCUGCCGAUGAAGGUUUAAUGGCCAUGAAGACAUCAACAUUAGGACAGUC